rnacentral:ncRNA from 1 species
GACUGAAGUGGAGAAAGGUUCCAUGUGAACAGCAAUUGGACAUGGGUUAGUCGAUCCUAAGAGAUGGGGAAAUCCUGUGUGAAGGGCGCAAUGCGCGCCGCCCAUCGAAAGGGAAUCGGGUUAAUAUUCCCGAACCGGGACAAGGCAGUGGGCGGUAACGCCGACGAAUCCAGAGACACUGGCGGGGGCCCCGGGAAGAGUUAUCUUUUCUUUUUAACGGCCUGCCGACCCUGAAAUCGGUUCAACCGGAGAUAGGGUCUCACGGCCGGCAGAGCACCGCACGUCCUGCGGUGUCCGGUGCGCCCCCGGCGGUCCUUGAAAAUCUGGAGGAGCGAGUGCUGAGCUUGCCCGGUCGUACUCAUAACCGCAUCAGGUCUCCAAGGUGAGCAGCCUCUAGUC